UAUCGAGCACGCGAGACCUUACAGGUCUUGACAUCCUCUGCCACUUCUAGAGAUAGAAGGUUCCCCUUCGGGGGACAGAGUGACAGGUGGUGCAUGGUUGUCGUCAGCUCGUGUCGUGAGAUGUUGGGUUAAGUCCCGCAACGAGCGCAACCCUUGAUCUUAGUUGCCAGCAUUCAGUUGGGCACUCUAAGGUGACUGCCGGUGACAAACCGGAGGAAGGUGGGGAUGACGUCAAAUCAUCAUGCCCCCUUAUGACCUGGGCUACACACGUGCUACAAUGGAUGGUACAAAGGGCAGCGAAACCGCGAGGUUCAGCGAAUCCCAUAAAACCAUUCUCAGUUCGGAUUGCAGGCUGCAACUCGCCUGCAUGAAGCCGGAAUCGCUAGUAAUCGCGGAUCAGCAUGCCGCGGUGAC
rnacentral:rRNA from 1 species